UACAGGAGGUCUCAAGCGUUUGUUCGGAUUCAUUGGGCGUAAAGGGUGUGUAGGUGGCGCGCUAAGUCGGGUGUGAAAUUUCGGGAGCUUAACUCCGAAACUGCAUUCGAUACUGGCGUGGCUUGAGGAACUGGAGAGGAGACUGGAAAUUCAUGGUGUAGCAGUGAAAUGCGUAGAGAUCAAUGGAGGAAGACCAGUGGGCGAAGGCGGGUCUCUGGACAGUUC
rnacentral:rRNA from 1 species